GUGAGGAAUAUUGGUCAAUGGGCGAGAGCCUGAACCAGCCAAAUCGCGUGAAGGAUGAAGGUAUUAUGUAUUGUAAACUUCUUUUAUCGGGGAAUAAAGUGCGGGACGUGUCCCGUUUUGUAUGUACCCGAAGAAUAAGGAUCGGCUAACUCCGUGCCAGCAGCCGCGGUAAUACGGAGGAUCCAAGCGUUAUCCGGAUUUAUUGGGUUUAAAGGGUGCGUAGGCGGACUGUCAAGUCAGCGGUGAAAGUCCAUGGCUCAACCAUGGAAUGGCCGUUGAAACUGUCGGUCUUGAGUGUAGAUGAGGUAGGCGGAAUUCGUAGUGUAGCGGUGAAAUGCUUAGAUAUUACGAAGAACUCCAAUUGCGUAGGCAGCUUACCAGGCUACAACUGACGCUGAGGCACGAAGGUGCGGGGAUCAAACAGGAUUAGAAACCCCUGUAGUCC
rnacentral:rRNA from 1 species